rnacentral:tRNA from 1 species
GCUCCAGUAGUGCAAUUGGUUAGCACAUAGUACUUAUAAUGCCAGGGUUGUGAGUUCAAGUCUCACCUAGAGCA